GAUGAACGCUGGCGGCGUGCCUAAUACAUGCAAGUCGAGCGAACGGACGAGAAGCUUGCUCCUCUGACGUUAGCGGCGGACGGGUGAGUAACACGUGGAUAACCUACCUAUAAGACUGGGAUAACUUCGGGAAACCGGAGCUAAUACCGGAUAAUAUAUUGAACCGCAUGGUUCAAUAGUGAAAGACGGUUUUGCUGUCACUUAUAGAUGGAUCCGCGCUGCAUUAGCUAGUUGGUAAGGUAACGGCUUACCAAGGCAACGAUGCGUAGCCGACCUGAGAGGGUGAUCGGCCACACUGGAACUGAGACACGGUCCAGACUCCUACGGGAGGCAGCAGUAGGGAAUCUUCCGCAAAGGGCGAAAGCCUGACCGAGCAACGCCGCGUGGGUGAAGAAGGGUUUCGGGUUGUAAAACCCUUUUAUUUGGGAAGAAAAAAAUGUGAAGUAACCAGGGCCGUUCUGACGGUACCCAAACAAAAAGCCCCGGCUAACUUCGUG
rnacentral:rRNA from 1 species